GCCUCUACGGUGCAGUGGUGGUAGCACGCGUCCCCGGCAUGGAUGAAACGCGGGUUCGACUCCCGCCUAAAGCCA